rnacentral:lncRNA from 1 species
AUGGCCUCUGGUUUUCUCCGUUAUAGCAGAUUUGUUGACAUACUGACUUUGUUAAACACACAUUGUAUUUCCAGGGUGCUGUUGCUCUCACUGUUGGCCUUCAGCAAGCAUGCUGAGUCUCUUACUUACAGGAGUACCUACUCCAGUGGUAUUAAGCCUUACUCUGGGAUGGCUGAGAAUUUUCCACACAACCAGAAUCCUGUUUUCAGACAUAAGAGCUAUGCACAACCCCGAAGUUCUCUGGGUGUUUAUGGGCCUGAACAUGGGUCACCUGAGAAUUCUUACCCCACUGCUGCAGGGGGAUACUGUUAUCCAAUUGAGAUGCGUUCUGUGCCCCAGUGGCAAAGUAAUGAGCACCAGACCCAGCCACACCCUGAGCGAGAACAGUUUAGCGACUUUCAGUCUCGCCCGCUGCCCCAGCAGCCGCGCUACGAGGCCAGCAAGCCCCAGGCCCAGGCCCGGCCUUUCCCCCAGCAGCCGCGCUACGAUGUGCUGCAAAACAAAGCUAGCAUGUGGGACUUGGCUAUUAACUCCAAUGCUGAUCCAAGAAGUUUGAGACCCAUUCAAGUUUCAUCAAGUUAUCUCUACAGCUGGCCACAGCAACAGGCACCCUUCUACAACAGAUAUUAACAAUAGGUUUCUGACCUCACCUGUGAACAGCUGGUUUUGGCUUGGCAUCAGAUUUUGUGAUAUCAAUAAAGUACACAGAACUACACUCCCUGGCUGCUGUUUAAAGCUCCUUUGACCAUGAGUAAGUUCAGUUUUAUGCAUGCUCUCAUGAUAAACUGAGCUGCUCUAUAGAUCUAGGCUUGUACUGUUGCUACCAUAAUGUUGCCUUCCAGUAUACAAACUGAAGCUGUAAGCCCCAAAGACUGUCACAGAAUUGUCUUACAGUUGUGUAGCUUAGCAAAGCAAAUCUGCUUAGCUUGUCUUAAUGUUUCAACAAGUGUUCAGUGUUCACAACCACAAUUUUCACUUCAAGAACAAGGGGUGGAAACAUGGCAGUUUAAUGCCUUCUAUCAAUGGCAAAAAUUACAGUCCACUCAGGACUACAACCAACCAGAUGCUAAACGAAAAAUGGUGGUAGUCUGCCAAGCAGGUGCUCACUAUCAGGGAAAAUUAGGGAUUAGCAUCAACCAAGGCAGCUCAAAGCACAAGCAGCAAUAUAGCUUUGAAAGGUGUGGGUGUCAGUUUUUGGGUCCCAAUUGUGAACUAUGACCAUUCCUUCAACAUCAGUGUCACAUUAGCUGUUCUCUUUUUCUGCCUUAAAGUAAAUUGUCCUAAUGGGCUCAUAUUAAAGUUUGUUUUUAUUCUAUAGAGAUUCUCAUCUCACUAUUCAUGUGCCAUAUUUGUCCUUAUGCAAGAAGACUUGAGUCUUGAGUAUUAAUAUAAAUAUCUCAUGGAUUUAUGAUAUUCAUCAAAUGCUACUUCUUUGUCUUUUCACUUUUCUGCUGCUUCUUGCCCAAACACCGUCCCACCCCUCCUCCUCUCUGAUAGCUGUUAUUAGUUUAGUCGUCUCCAGUUUGGGGAGAUAAUGACAGUGCUGUUUUUUGGACACUGACUUCCUGUGUGUGUGGUGUUUCUCCCUGUCAUUAAGCAGCAAGUCUGUGUGGUUAAAAUGACACAGCUUUGACUGCAGGAAACACUGCCAACUUCACCAUCCGAUCCCAGCUCCAAUAAACUACUCACUGCUGGUUUUCAGCUUUCAUACUGUCUGUUGCUUGUUUGGGGGUUUCAGCAUAUUUUCCUUUACUUGAGUUUUACAAUAAAGAUAUUAUAGAUAUUUUAUAGCACACUGCUUACAGUACACUGUUGUGGUCUUUGCUUUACAUCAAAUGAAAAUGCACUUUAGUCAAAAGCACAUUGCACUUCAUCUGCAGUGACAUAUUUGUUGUAUGGAUCUUUUACUGGACGUCCCACAAUGUCAUUUAUACAGCGCCAAAUCGCAACAACAGUCACCUCAAGGCGCUUUAUAUUGUAAGGUUAACCCUACAAUAAUACAUACAGAGAAAAACCCAACAAUCAUAUGACCCCCUAUGAGCAAGCACUUUGGCAACAGUGGGAAGGAAAAACUCCCUUUUAACAGGAAGAAACCUCCGGCAGAAACUGCAUGAAAGGCUGUGGUUUGCAAGGUACCAGAUGUAAAGCAACCAAGGCAGAUACAGCUGCUUAAAUCAGUCAAACUCUAUUGAACAUUACUUUUCAAAGUGUUUCACAGAUUAUUAAAAAGCUGAUAAAACAAAUGGCAUGCUUUAAUAACGGACAUAGAAUUAACAAC